AUUGAACGCUGGCGGCAUGCUUUACACAUGCAAGUCGAACGGGAGCGCGGGCUUCGGCCUGGCGGCGGGUGGCGGACGGGUGUGUAAUUUAUCGGAAAGUGCCCAGUAGUGGGGGAUAGGCCGGCGGAAGCCGGUUUAAUCACGCAUACGGCCUGAGGGUGUAAGAGGGGGACCGAAUGGCCUCGCGCUAUUGGCUCUGCGGCUUAUGGAUUAGCUUGGUUGUGUGUUAAAGGCUUACCAAGGCGACGAUCCGUGCCAGGUCUGAGAGGAACACCAGCCACACUGGUACUUGGACACGGCCCCGACUCCUACGGGAGGCAGCAGUGGGGAAUUUUGGACAACGGGGGCAACCCUGAUCCAGCCAUGCCGCGUGCGGGAAGAAGGCCUUCGGAUUGUAAACCGCUUUUGUUCGGGAAGAAAUCCUCUGGGCUACUACCCCGGGGGUAUGAAGGUACCGAAAGAAUAAGCACCGGCUAACUACGUG
rnacentral:rRNA from 1 species